rnacentral:rRNA from 1 species
GAUGAACGCUGGCGGCGUGCCUAAUACAUGCAAGUCGAGCGAAGCGGGGAGGGGUGAGUAACACGUGGAUAAACUCCUAUACGACUGGGACAACUUCGGGAAACCGGAGUCAAACCGGCAUCUUACAGAUGGAUCCGCGCUGCAUUCGCUAGUUGGUAAGUUAACGGCUUACCAAGGCCACGCUGACUAGCCGGCCUGAGAGGGUGAUGGGCCACACUGGAACUGAGACACGGUCCAGACGCCUACGGGGUUCAGCAGUAGGGAAUCUUCCGCAAUGGGCGAAAGCCUGACGGAGCAACGCCGCGUGUAUGAAGAAGGUCUUCGGAUCUUAAAACACUGUUAUAGGGGAAGCGGUACCUAAUCAGAAAGCCACGGCUAACUACGUGCCAGCAGCCGCGGUAAUAC